GGAGAUGGGGGGGCACUGGUGAUGCAAGUUCGGGGAGGAGCCAGCCGAGGCGCGUUCCCCCAGCCUCGCUUACUGAGACACACACCAGCCCGCCCUCUCUCUCCAUAUCAGGACCGGAGUCGCCUGGGAUAGCCGCCAGAUUUUGGAAUCUCCAAGUUACACCUGGAUAGAAAUGCUGUCCGCUGUUCACAGAAGUCUGAUCCUGACAUUCUCAACCCUGAAAGUGAUAAGAAUCUUGACAGAGAACUAAGUCCACUCCCACUUGAAUGAAACUCUUAUCCAAGGAAAACAAAAGCUACUCCUGCCUGCCUCCCUCCCCUCAGCCCCCAGGAGAACCGUGAAAUGCCUGCUGAAUUGAGAGACUGGAAAAGAACAGAGCAAGGCAGAGCCCCUGAGGUCUUUGCCACAGGAGAGUGAUCAACAUCUGAGUCCUUUGCAUCCUCAUUUUACCCUGACUUAAGUUAAUGCCACCAAUGUCCAGUGUGCACACUCUCAGCACACACACAGCCAGUGCCAUGCAGAGGAGCGCACAGAAAAACUUUCCACACCAAAACUCCUCUCGACGCAAACCAAAGAAUGGCUGUCUUGCCUUAGAAGGAAGCCCUGGCUAGGGUGAUUUCAGGGGUUAAUCCUCAAUGAAAGACGGUUAAGCAGAGACUUGAAGAUUGCUGAGGUUUUAUGCUGGUGAACGGCCUGGGGAAUCCACAUUCGGAUCAGCCUUGGUAUGUUUUGCUGAGUGAGAUAAGAGUUGGAGACUUCAUGCUGGGACAUGUGCAAAAGGAAGGGAAAAAAUAAAAAAGGGGAGGGGAAGGAACUAGGUAAUUGAAAACAGCCCACUCGUGGCAACCAAAUCUAAACAGAAAAACAUUGCAGGGAGCCAACGCGAAAAAAAAAAAAAAAAAAAAAAAGUUCGAGAUAUUUAAUGGUUCUAGCAGUUUCUUAGUUCAGUGCACAAUCCCUUCCCACAUUCCUCUGCCCCAUUACUCUGUUCUGUAAACCCUAAGACUGUAUUUGCACCCAGAAUGCUAGAAACACAAGGUAAGAUCCACCAGAGGAGCGGCAGAGUACUACCAGCCCUGUCUGCCUAGCUCAACCUACUUCUUCGCUUUGAAACGGGAGUGGAGUCGAUUUUCUUAUACUUUAUUCUGUUUCUGAAGCCCACUCUUUCUACAAAGUCAGUCUGAAUGUGGUGACUGCUAGUUUAAUAGCGUCCAAAAUGGGCAUUGUCAGGAAACAGGUGCAGCAUCACACAGUAGGCACCAAAGUGUGGAAGGCACUUGGAUUCUGGAUUCAGCACUUAGAUGCUGUGUCACCUUAAGUAAGUCAUUUCUUCAAAUGAAAAAUGGCACUAACAAUAGUGCCUAAUGCAUAAAAUUGUUAUGACAUUUCUCUGAGGAUGUGGCACCCGGUCAGCCCUCAAUAGUGGUAUCAUUAGUUAAUUAUGAAUCAAGAAAAGCUUUCUGAGGUGCCCCUGAAUCUCUCCAGGAACUCAUUGAGUACCCCUUGUCAGUGGCAAAUAGUGGAUGAAGUCGAGCGAUCUCCAGGAAUGACAAUCAUAAGGGGGUGGGAAUGAGAGCCCAGGCAGACACCGAUGAGAACGGUCCUCAUUCCCCAUCACAGCAACUCCACCACACACCUGGGGCUCUCCUCAAUGCUGGGUGGCCCUGCCAAGUAUCCUGGGCUAGGAGGAGGGGAUUUGGGUUCAGGGUCUGGUUCUGUCUUUGAUAUGCUUGAGCAAGGCACUCCCCCUUUCUAAGGCUCCCAACUUUUCUGAAGUGAGGAGCCUUGGACUGAGCUCUGAUGGUCCUGAAUGGGGACCCUCUGCCAAAGCCACCCUAUGGGCCUCUGGCAACUUUCCCUAAGAGAGAUGGGGAGAGAGAAGACAUCAUAGGUAAGGCACUGAAUACCACAGGGGCAGACCCAUUUAUGCAACCUUUCUUCCCCUCCAAAAACUAGAGUUAAGAAAUGCUGUCCAACUUAAACACAGCCUUUCUCCCACCUCCAAUACUUCCAAGAGUUUUCAUCCCCAUGGACUAGGUGCCUUGUGAGAGAGGGGCGUGGCAGAACACUCCAGGCAUGGAUUACAUCUCUGGGGACUUCUUACAUGUAGCCCAUCAUCAACAACCAUAGACAUCUACCUUGGUCUACAGGGCCAAAACCCAGGUAGCAGAUACUCCCAUUUGAGAGAUUAAAUCCUGGAGACCCCAGAAUCCAAAAUGAAGUCCUGGAAGUCAGGGGAUUAGCAGGACUCAGGAGACCUGGGAUUCAUUCACAGGUUUACCUCCAGUCAACUGAGUAAGUAUACAGUGAGUAUACAAGUCAUAAACAUGAUGUCUCAGUUUCCCAGUCUAUAAAACGGAACUACUUAGCAUUGACUCCCCCUAGGUUGUUGUAAGAAUCAAAUGAGAUAGUAGAUGUGAAAGUGAUUUGAAAAUAAAAGAUUUCUUUGGGGAAAGUUUUACUAUAAUUUUUUUGUCAUUAUGAAAAUUUGGGAAACAGACAAGAAAAAAAUAUUACCCACAAUCUCAACACUGUCAGCACUGUAGUGUGUUUCCCUCUAAUCUUUUUUCUCAUGUACAUGAUUGUAAAAUAUAGUUACGAUUUUAUAUU